GAUGAACGCUGGCGGCGUGCUUAACACAUGCAAGUCGAACGAGAAGUGAAGACGGAAACCUUCGGGCGGAAGGCUUUAUUUCGAGUGGCGGACGGGUGAGUAACGCGUGGGUAACCUGCCUCAUACAGGGGGAUAACAGUUGGAAACGACUGUUCAUACCGCAUAAGACCACAGCACCGCAUGGUGCGGGGGUAAAAACUCCGGUGGUAUGAGAUGGACCCGCGUUCGAUUAGCCAGUUGGCGGGGUAACGGCCCACCAAAGCGACGAUCGAUAGCCGAUCUGAGAGGAUGACCGGCCACAUUGGGACUGAGACACGGCCCAAACUCCUACGGGAGGCAGCAGUGGGGAAUAUUGCACAAUGGGGGAAACCCUGAUGCAGCGACGCCGCGUGAGUGAAGAAGUAUUUCGGUAUGUAAAGCUCUAUCAGCAGGGAAGAAAAUGACGGUACCUUAGUAAGAAGCCCCGGCUAACUACGUG
rnacentral:rRNA from 1 species